CCCUACGGGACGCAGCAGUGAGGAAUAUUGGACAAUGGGCGCAAGCCUGAUCCAGCCAUGCCGCGUGCAGGAUGACGGUCCUAUGGAUUGUAAACUGCUUUUGCACAGGAAGAAACACUCCCUCGUGAGGGAGCUUGACGGUACUGUGAGAAUAAGGAUCGGCUAACUCCGUGCCAGCAGCCGCGGUAAUACGGAGGAUCCAAGCGUUAUCCGGAAUCAUUGGGUUUAAAGGGUCCGUAGGCGGUUUAGUAAGUCAGUGGUGAAAGCCCAUCGCUCAACGGUGGAACGGCCAUUGAUACUGCUAGACUUGAAUUAUAAGGAAGUAACUAGAAUAUGUAGUGUAGCGGUGAAAUGCUUAGAGAUUACAUGGAAUACCAAUUGCGAAGGCAGGUUACUACUUAUGGAUUGACGCUGAUGGACGAAAGCGUGGGUAGCGAACAGGAUUAGAUACCCGUGUAGUCC
rnacentral:rRNA from 1 species